rnacentral:lncRNA from 1 species
AUAUCUUCAGACUGCAGAAGCAAUGAAUGACAAGAAAUGACCUAUCAGGGUAGUCAGUAGCUAGGACAUGAAAUAUAAUUGACGUAUAAUCAAAUCUAAGCUUAAGAUGUUUAAAGCAUCCUUUUGCAUUGUUGUGGAUGCAGGCUUCUCCAAAGGUUCGAAGUUAUCUUCAGUUGUCAUCAAGGAGUGUAAGAGUAGAAUAAGUUCACUACUGAAAGAAACUUCAGAAAUGAGGUCUGAACACGAAACUUCCUGCAAUGAGGGUCCAGGCCACAAACCAUCCAGGUUAAUUCAGAAACAGGGUUGCAGCAGUUAUUGCAUGAACAUCCAGAGGGUGAGGUAUGAAUUGUCUGCAUAGUCCUCCUAUACAUGACCUUUUCCCCUAGAACGCACUAUGUAGCACUAGGUAAAUAUCUGACAGCCUAUAUUGAGAUUUAAAUUAUUAUUUUUAAAUAACUAAAUUUACUGAUAGUAUGUAUGUGUAUAGAACAAAGACUUAGAGACAGUCACAUAAACAGGAUUAAUUUAAUAGCUUGAUUAUUCUAGCCUCAGAAACAAUAAUGAAUCUUUCAUUCUUAAUGCAAGUGCACCUAAAUUUUUAGAAAUUGGAGUUUUUAGUAGGACUUAGUUCAUACAAAUAUAACCCCUCUAUAAGGGAAGAGUUAAUAAUUAAUAGGCUUUUACUAUUGUCUUCUCUGUCUUUGUUUAAUGUGUUUGAAUGUUGAAUCAUGAUAAAUUAUGUACAAGUGAUAAAUUAUAUAAUGCUCCAGUACGGUGGGAAUUAAUUGUGGAACUGCCUUAAUUUGCUCUUUUUUUUUUUUUUUUUUUUGCCAUAAAACACAUUAAAUCUGUUACGUGGAUUGCUUUGUCAAAUGGUAUUCAUAAGAAAGGAGGAUGGGGGGACACCCCAAACAAACAGAGCCUUGCUCCCUUUGGACAGAUGGCGAGGGCUGAACCAUCGUGAAUGUUAUUGGCCUAAUUGGAAUCACAUUUGCGUAUUGUUCUCAAACUAUGCUGGGGAUGGGGCUGGCAGGGGCGGGGGAGAAGAGCUGCACUGCAGAAAUGCAGUGCCGUGAAAAUCCUCCAGAAGGUUAAGGGGGAUUCCUCCACCUCCUGGGCCACUGCUGCUGCCUGCACAGCCUGCUGCUGACCCAGGGUUAGACGUGGGCAGACGCCCCACAGCUGCAUCGCUUCUCCUCCCUGCUCUCCAUGGAAAUGUCUGUGGGGAGCGGAUCGCCUCAAAUGCAGCUGAAGCCUGGGAAAGCAUGCGCUGCUUCUGAGCAGUUUACAAUACAGUAAAUUAGAGACAGGUCUUUUAGUCACAAUACCCUUUAAAUUAAAUAAAUCAGGACUAAGCUUUUUUUUUGUGUGUGUG